rnacentral:rRNA from 1 species
UUCGAGUGGCGACGGGUGAGUAACGCGUGGGUAACCUGCCUUACACAGGGGGAUAACACCUGGAAACAGGUGCUAAUACCGCAUAAGCGCACAGGGCCGCAUGGCCCGGUGUGAAAAACUCCGGUGGUGUAAGAUGGACCCGCGUCUGAUUAGCUUGUUGGCGGGUAGGGCCCACCAAGGCGACGAUCAGUAGCCGGCCUGAGAGGGUGGACGGCCACAUUGGGACUGAGACACGGCCCAAACUCCUACGGAAGGCAGCAG